UUUUGCCACUGUUUGUCUGUUGGUAGUUUAGUUCGGGUUAGGCGUAGGAAUGGAUCGUGGUGGCCGUGGCGUAUAAUGGGAUUUCCUGAAUUUCUUGAUGGUUGCGUCCUUUCUCUGAAGGAUCAAACUCCGGUGAAGUUCUUGGGACGAUAUAAUGCAAACAUGGGGCUCAACAAGACGUGCUAGUUGAUAUGGUUGCAUAAAGUCAUUUUUACAAGCAGAGAUUGGUACACCUUAUCAACACAACUACGUAAGACUCUUGCUUAAGUUUCUUUUUUCGCAUAGAGGAAUAC